AGACAUGCCCGUGUCUCAGGCCGUGUGGGCAUUCGAAAUAGGGGUACACAGCCGUGUCUCAUCUCGUGUCCAAACUUGUGAGCUCUUUGACUUGAGUCACACGGCCAAGCCAUACGCCCAUGUGCUAGGCCAUGUGAGCAUUCUGUUUUGUGCAAAUUUAAGAGACAAGGGACACACGGCGAUGUCAUCUGGCCGUAUGUCACACACAAUUGAGACACAUGCCCAUGUCUCUACUCGUGUGGACGAAAAUAGGUCAUUUCACAGGUCAUAUUUCUCACCCAAUUUUGUCUCAACCUACAAUCAACACUAUACAUAUUAAUGAGCCAUAAUUAGGCAUCCAAAACAAGCCAAAAUAAGUGGCGAAUCUCAACAAGUUACAUCUAGACAAACAUUAACCAAAAAAAAUUAUAUAUGCCAUUAUAACCAAAAACAAAACAUUCAAAAGUACCAAUAAAACCAAUGGAUAGCGUGAUAUAUCUCCGACAAGCUUCCAACUUAAUCGAGCUCCUGAUAAUCUAAAAAGUAAAGGAAAACAAAUACAUAAGCAAUGAUUGCUUAGUAAACUCGUAUAAACUUUGAUCAUAUCAAUUCAUUUUAAAUAAGAAAUUUAUACAUAUCAAGAAUAAUCCAAUAUUGAUACCACAAUAUUCAUGAAGUAUAUUCAAUAACUUUAAUUCUUCCAAAUUUCUAAAUUUUCAUUUGCGUUUUUUUACUUUCCACACUCAUUCCAUAUGAAUAACACACCAGUCAUAAGCAUACCAUACCACCAUAACCACAAGCUAGUGCAUUCGAACAUAGCCCUUUUCAAAUUUAAC
rnacentral:lncRNA from 1 species